rnacentral:rRNA from 1 species
UACAGAGGUCCCAAGCGUUGUUCGGAUUCACUGGGCGUAAAGGGUGCGCAGGUGGCAUGGUAAGUUCGAUGUGAAAGCCCCGGGCUUAACCCGGGAAAGGCAUUGGAUACUACUGUGCUGGAGGAUUGGAGGGGGGACUGGAAUUCUUGGUGUAGCAGUGAAAUGCGUAGAUAUCAAGAGGAACACCAGUGGCGAAGACGAGUCCCUGGACAAUACCUGACACUGAGUCACGAAAGCCAAGGGAGCAAACAGG